rnacentral:lncRNA from 1 species
AAUCUCUCUCAUUGCAGGCUGAAGAGGACUGGCCUUUCAGUGGCCCUCGUGGAACGGUAGGAAGCUGAGCUGGACUCUCUGCCACAUCGUUCGGUUCCCACAACAGCCUGAAAUGGGGUCUUGCCUUGUUGCCCAGGCUGGAGUGCAGCAACGUGAUCAUAGUUUACUGUAGCCUGGGCUCAACUCCUGGGCUCCAGUGAUCCUCCCGCCUCAGCCUCACAAGUAGCUGGGACCAUAGGUGUGAGCCACUGUGUUUGGCUGUAAUCGUUGUUAUUGUAGGCGCAUGUGCAUGAGGACCCUCCCUUCUUAGGCUCCUGACUCUACUUUGCUUGGGUUUGAAACAAGUGACUCCAUCUUGAAAUGGACAACUGGCACAGAAUAGAGCAUUUCAAGGGCAGAUUAGAUGGCAACUUAAAAAAAAGAUGAAGCAGCAGCAGAAAAAAUGGAAGCCAUUUUGGUUAACGGGUCACAUCUUAGCAGUUGGCAGCGUAAGAAGCGGAAGGAUCCACUGGUCAGAAAUGGAGAUUGAGGAGAAGCUGAGAGCACGGAGGGCUUCAGGGGAGAGCCUGUCCUUUGGAAAAGCGGGCAAUUUGCACUCGUGGUAGAUGAGUGGGGAGGCCGCUCAGUCUCUCUGCCCCUUUGCACAUGCUGCACCCGUUUAGUUUGACGUCGUGGAGAGCUCCUCCAGGCACGGGCUGUGUGAAAGGGUUUAAAAGUUUGGGGGCAUGGCUGGGGGUCCCCGCAUGAGGGGUGCU